rnacentral:rRNA from 1 species
UACGUAGGGGGCUAGCGUUGUCCGGAUUUAUUGGGCGUAAAGAGCGUGUAGGCGGCCAGGUAGGUCUGGUGUGAAAACUCGAGGCUUAACCUCGAGAUGUCAUCGGAAACCAUCUGGCUAGAGUCCGGAAGAGGAGAGUGGAAUUCCUGGUGUAGCGGUGAAAUGCGCAGAUAUCAGGAAGAACACCAAUGGCGAAAGCGGCUCUCUGGGACGGUACUGACGCUGAGACGCGAAAGCGUGGGGAGCGAACAGG